CCGGGGAAAAGCCACUAAGCUUCAGCUACACACGACCGUACCGCAAACCGACACUGGUGCGUGAGAUGAGUAUUCUAAGGCGCUUGAGAGAACUCAGGAGAAGGAACUCGGCAAAUUGACACCGUAACUUCGGAAGAAGGUGUGCCCUAGUAGUGUGAAGUGAACAACGGAGCAUGAAUGGGUUGCAAAAAAUCGGUGGCUGCGACUGUUUAUUAAAAACACAGCACUCUGCAAACACGAAAGUGGACGUAUAGGGUGUGACGCCUGCCCGGUGCUGGAAGAUUAAAUGAUGGGGUGCAAGCUCUUGAUUGAAGUCCCAGUAAACGGCGGCCGUAACUAUAACGGUCCUAAGGUAGCGAAAUUCCUUGUCGGGUAAGUUCCGACCUGCACGAAUGGCGUAACGAUGGCCACACUGUCUCCUCCUGAGACUCAGCGAAGUUGAAAUGUUUGUGAUGAUGCAAUCUCCCCGCGGAAAGACGGAAAGACCCCAUGAACCUUUACUGUAUCUUUGUAGUGGACUUUGAACAGAUCUGUGUAGGAUAGGUGGGAGGCUUUGAAGCAGGGUCGCUAGAUCUUGUGGAGCCAACGUUGAAAUACCACCCUGGUGUGUUUGAGGUUCUAACCCAGGUCCAUUAUCUGGAUCGGGGACAGUGCAUGGUAGGCAGUUUGACUGGGGCGGUCUCCUCCCAAAGCGUAACGGAGGAGUUCGAAGGUACGCUAGUUACGGUCGGACAUCGUGACGAUAGUGCAAUGGCAUAAGCGUGCUUAACUGCGAGACUGACAAGUCGAGCAGAUGCGAAAGCAGGACAUAGUGAUCCGGUGGUUCUGUAUGGAAGGGCCAUCGCUCAACGGAUAAAAGGUACUCUGGGGAUAACAGGCUGAUACCGCCCAAGAGUUCAUAUCGACGGCGGUGUUUGGCACCUCGAUGUCGGCUCAUCUCAUCCUGGGGCUGUAGCCGGUCCCAAGGGUAUGGCUGUUCGCCAUUUAAAGAGGUACGUGAGCUGGGUUUAAAACGUCGUGAGACAGUUUGGUCCCUAUCUUCCGUGGGCGCUGCAGAUUUGAGGAAGCCUGCUCCUAGUACGAGAGGACCGGAGUGGACACACCUCUGGUGUAUCGGUUGUCACGCCAGUGGCAUUGCCGAGUAGCUAAGUGUGGAAGAGAUAACCGCUGAAAGCAUCUAAGCGGGAAACUCGUUUCAAGAUGAGAUCUGCCGGGGCCUUGAGCCCCCUGAAGAGUCGUUCAAGACCAGGACGUUGAUAGGUCAGGUGUGGAAGCGCAGUAAUGCGUUAAGCUAACUGAUACUAAUUGCUCGUGCGGCUUGACCCA
rnacentral:rRNA from 1 species